AUUGAACGCUGGCGGAAUGCUUUACACAUGCAAGUCGAACGGUAACAGGUCUUCGGAUGCUGACGAGUGGCGAACGGGUGAGUAAUAUAUCGGAACGUGCCCAGUCGUGGGGGAUAACGUAGCGAAAGUUACGCUAAUACCGCAUACGAUCUACGGAUGAAAGCGGGGGAUCGCAAGACCUCGCGCGAUUGGAGCGGCCGAUAUCAGAUUAGGUAGUUGGUGUGGUAAAGGCUCACCAAGCCAACGAUCUGUAGCUGGUCUGAGAGGACGACCAGCCACACUGGAACUGAGACACGGUCCAGACUCCUACGGGAGGCAGCAGUGGGGAAUUUUGGACAAUGGACGCAAGUCUGAUCCAGCCAUUCCGCGUGCAGGAUGAAGGCCCUCGGGUUGUAAACUGCUUUUGUACAGAACGAAAAGGCUCUUCCUAAUACGAGGGGCUCAUGACGGUACUGUAAGAAUAAGCACCGGCUAACUACGUGCCAGCCGCCGCCGUAA
rnacentral:rRNA from 1 species